rnacentral:rRNA from 1 species
UACACGAGCGGCGAACGGGUGAGUAACACGUGAGCAACCUACCCUCAACUUCGGGAUAAGCCUCGGAAACGGGGUCUAAUACCGGAUAUCACUUCCUGCUUCAUGGUGGGGGGUUGAAAGUUCUGGCGGUUGGGGAUGGGCUCGCGGCCUAUCAGCUUGUUGGUGGGGUAAUGGCCUACCAAGGCGUCGACGGGUAGCCGGCCUGAGAGGGCGACCGGCCACACUGGGACUGAGACACGGCCCAGACUCCUACGGGAGGCAGCAGUGGGGAAUAUUGCGCAAUGGACGAAAGUCUGACGCAGCAACGCCGCGUGAGGGAUGACGGCCUUCGGGUUGUAAACCUCUUUCAGCAGGGACGAAGCGAGAGUGACGGUACCUGCAGAAGAAGGACCGGCCAACUACGUGCCAGCAGCCGCGGUAAUACGUAGGGUCCGAGCGUUGUCCGGAAUUAUUGGGCGUAAAGGGCUCGUAGGCGGUUCGUCACGUCGGGAGUGAAAACUCGGAGCUUAACUCCGAGCCUGCUUCCGAUACGGGCAGACUAGAGGUAGGCAGGGGAGAGCGGAACUCCUGGUGUAGCGGUGGAAUGCGCAGAUAUCAGGAAGAACACCGGUGGCGAAGGCGGCUCUCUGGGCCUUACCUG